AGUGAACGCUAGCGGCAUGCCUAACACAUGCAAGUCGAACGAGACCUUCGGGUUUAGUGGCGCACGGGUGCGUAACGCGUGGGAAUCUGCCCUUCGGUUGGGAAUAACUGAGAGAAAUUUCAGCUAAUACCUUAUAAUGUCUUCGGACCAAAGAUUUAUCGCCGAGGGAUGAGCCCGCGUAGGAUUAGGUAGUUGGUGGGGUAAUGGCCUACCAAGCCGACGAUCCUUAGCUGGUCUGAGAGGAUGAUCAGCCACACUGGGACUGAGACACGGCCCAGACUCCUACGGGAGGCAGCAGUGGGGAAUAUUGGACAAUGGGCGAAAGCCUGAACCAGCAAUGCCGCGUGAGUGAUGAAGGCCUUAGGGUUGUAAAGCUCUUUUACCCGGGAUGAUAAUGACAGUACCGGGAGAAUAAGCUCCGGCUAACUCCGUGCCAGCCGCCGCAGUAA
rnacentral:rRNA from 1 species